AAUGCUGACAUAAGUAACGAUAAAGCGGGUGAAAAGCCCGCUCGCCGGAAGACCAAGGGUUCCUGUCCAACGUUAAUCGGGGCAGGGUGAGUCGACCCCUAAGGCGAGGCCGAAAGGCGUAGUCGAUGGGAAACAGGUUAAUAUUCCUGUACUUGGUGUUACUGCGAAGGGGGGACGGAGAAGGCUAUGUUGGCCGGGCGACGGUUGUCCCGGUUUAAGCGUGUAGGCUGGUUUUCCAGGCAAAUCCGGAAAAUCAAGGCUGAGGCGUGAUGACGAGGCACUACGGUGCUGAAGCAACAAAUGCCCUGCUUCCAGGAAAAGCCUCUAAGCAUCAGGUAACAUCAAAUCGUACCCCAAACCGACACAGGUGGUCAGGUAGAGAAUACCAAGGCGCUUGAGAGAACUCGGGUGAAGGAACUAGGCAAAAUGGUGCCGUAACUUCGGGAGAAGGCACGCUGAUAUGUAGGUGAAGUCCCUCGCGGAUGGAGCUGAAAUCAGUCGAAGAUACCAGCUGGCUGCAACUGUUUAUUAAAAACACAGCACUGUGCAAACACGAAAGUGGACGUAUACGGUGUGACGCCUGCCCGGUGCCGGAAGGUUAAUUGAUGGGGUUAGCGCAAGCGAAGCUCUUGA
rnacentral:rRNA from 1 species